rnacentral:rRNA from 1 species
GAUGAACGCUAGCUACAGGCUUAACACAUGCAAGUCGAGGGGAAACGACAUCGAAAGCUUGCUUUUGAUGGGCGUCGACCGGCGCACGGGUGAGUAACGCGUAUCCAACCUGCCCAUCACUUGGGAAUAACCUUGCGAAAGUAAGACUAAUACCCAAUGACAUCCCACGAAGACAUCUGAAUGGGAUUAAAGAUUUAUCGGUGAUGGAUGGGGAUGCGUCUGAUUAGCUUGUUGGCGGGGUAACGGCCCACCAAGGCAACGAUCAGUAGGGGUUCUGAGAGGAAGGGCCCCCACAUUGGAACUGAGACACGGUCCAAACUCCUACGGGGGGCAGCAGUGAGGAAUAUUGGUCAAUGGGCGAGAGCCUGAACCAGCCAAGUAGCGUGCAGGAUGACGGCCCUAUGGGUUGUAAACUGCUUUUAUAAGGGAAUAAAGUGGGUCUCGUGAGACUUUUUGCAUGUACCUUAUGAAUAAGGACCGGCUAAUUCCGU